rnacentral:rRNA from 1 species
CCUACGGGAGGCAGCAGUGAGGAAUAUUGGUCAAUGGUCGGGAGACUGAACCAGCCAAGCCGCGUGAGGGAUGAAGGUACAGAGUAUCGUAAACCUCUUUUGUCAGGGAACAAAGGCGGGGACGUGUCCCCGGAUGAGUGUACCUGAAGAAAAAGCAUCGGCUAACUCCGUGCCAGCAGCCGCGGUAAUACGGAGGAUGCGAGCGUUAUCCGGAUUUAUUGGGUUUAAAGGGUGCGCAGGCGGUCUGUUAAGUCAGCGGUAAAAGCCCGGGGCUCAACCCGGGCCCGCCGUUGAAACUGGCAGUCUCGAGUGGGAGAGAAGUAUGCGGAAUGCGCGGUGUAGCGGUGAAAUGCAUAGAUAUCGCGCAGAACUCCGAUUGCGAAGGCAGCAUGCCGGCUCCACACUGACGCUGAGGCACGAAAGCGUGGGUAUCGAACAGGAUUAGAUACCCGAGUAGUC